UACGAAGGGGGCUAGCGUUGUUCGGAUUUACUGGGCGUAAAGCGCACGUAGGCGGAUCGUUAAGUCAGGGGUGAAAUCCUGGAGCUCAACUCCAGAACUGCCUUUGAUACUGAGGAUCUUGAGUUCGGGAGAGGUGAGUGGAACUGCGAGUGUAGAGGUGAAAAUUCGUAGAUAUUCGCAAGAACACCAGUGGCGAAGGCGGCUCACUGGCCCGAUACUGACGCUGAGGCACGAAAGCGUGGGGAGCAAACAGG
rnacentral:rRNA from 1 species